GCUGGGCUUUGUGGUGCACACCUGUAGUCCUUGCUGCUUGGGAGGCUGAGGUAGAAAGAUUGCUUGAGCCCAGGAAUUGAAGGCCAGCCUGGGAAACAAAGUGAGACAUCCCAUCUCCA
rnacentral:sRNA from 1 species